CGACGGCCACGGCCACGGCCGCGGCGGACCCCGGGGGCCGGCAUGUAGCGGGCCCGCCAUGGCUGGCACGGACGGCGGCGGCGGCAGCGGAGACCUAAAGACGGCCCGCCUCUGGCGGGAGGCUGCCCUGCGAGCGCGCAAGCUGCGGGGCAACCUGCGACAGCUGAGCCUAAGCGGAGCCGCGGCCACCGCCUCCUCCUCGGCCCCGGGCCCGGGCUCCGGGCCCCGAACGCCCAGCCCCACGCCAGCCCAGCAUCCCCCACCGCUCGUGCUGCCCCCGGACCUCGCCGACGUGGAGGUGCUCAACCUGGGCAACAAUGCCCUGGACGAGCUGCCCGCCGGCCUGGCCACCGCCCUGGGCAGCCUGCCCCUCCUUCGGGGUCUGGUCCUGCGCCGCAACCGCCUGCCCAGGCUGCCCCCGCUGCUGGGCCAGCUGGGCGCCCGCCUCACCGAGCUGGACGUGAGCCACAACCGGCUGGGCGCCGUGGCCGCCGAGGUGCUGAGCGCCCUGCCCCAGCUGCGCAAACUCAACCUCAGCCACAACCAGCUGGCCGACCUGCCCGCCCAGCUGGGUGCCCUGGGCCACCUCGAGGAGCUGGACGUCAGCUUCAACAGGCUCCCCCAGCUGCCCGACGCCCUAGGCCGCCUGCGUGGCCUGCGGACCCUGGACCUGGACCACAACCAGCUCACCGCCUUCCCCCCUCAGCUCCUGCAGCUGGCCACCCUGGAGGAGCUGGACCUGUCGGGCAACCGCCUGCGGGGCCUGCCGGAGGAGAUCGGGGCCCUGCGAGCUCUCAAGAUCCUAUGGCUUAGCGGGGCUGAGCUUGGCGCCCUGCCCCCGGGCUUCUGCCAGCUAGCCAGCCUGGAGAGCCUGAUGCUGGACAGCAACGGGCUGCAGGCCCUGCCUGCACAAUUCAGUCAGCUCCAGCAGCUGAAGAUGCUGAACCUGUCCUCCAACCGCUUCGAAGACUUCCCGGGGGCCCUGCUGCCUCUGGGCGGCCUGGAAGAGCUCUACCUGAGCCGCAACCGGCUCACCGCAGUGCCGGCCCUGGUCUCGGGCCUGCGCAAGCUGCUCACGCUGUGGCUGGACAAUAACCGCAUCCGCUACCUGCCCGACUCCAUCGUGGAGCUGACGGGCCUGGAGGAGCUGGUGCUGCAGGGGAACCAGAUCGCUGUGCUGCCGGACAACUUCGGGCAGCUCUCCCGCGUGGGCCUGUGGAAGGUCAAGGACAACCCGCUGAUCCAACCCCCCUACGAGGUCUGUAUGAAGGGCAUCCCCUACAUCGCGGCCUACCAGAAGGAGCUGGCCCACUCCCAGCCUGCCGUGCAGCCUCGCCUCAAACUGCUGCUCCUAGGCCGCAAGGCCGCGGGCAAGACCUCGCUGCGCAGGUGCCUCACGGAGGCAGACCGGGAGGAGGGGGUGCGGGCAGGGAAGGGCCGAGAGAAGGGUCACCAGGGCCCCGACGCCUGCCUGGGCCCAACUUCGAGCAACAGCAAGGGCAUCGAAGUGACCAGCUGGACUGCAGACGCAGCCCGGGGUUUGCGCUUCAUCGUCUACGACUUAGCUGGGGACCAGAGCUAUGAAGCCAUCCAGCCUUUCUUCCUCUCGCCGGGGGCCCUUUACGUCUUGGUGGUCAACCUGGCCACCUAUGAAUCCUCCAGCUUCCCCUCGGCAGUGGGCACCUUCCUGCACCGCGUGGGAGCCCGGGUGCCGCAUGCCGUGGUCUGCAUCGUGGGCACCCACGCGGACCUGUGCGGAGAGCGCGAGCUGGAGGAGAAGUGCCUGGACAUUCACAGACAAAUCGCCCUGCAGGAGAAGCAGGACACGGCCGGCCUGGGCCGCCUGGCCGGCGCCGUGGACGAGGCCCUGGCUCGGGACUUUGAGCUGCGCUGCGCCAGCCCCCACGCGGCCUACUACGGCGUGUCCGACAAGAACCUGCGGAGGCGCAAGGCCCACCUGCAGUACCUGCUGAAGCACCGGCCGCAGAUCCUCUCCCCGGUGCUGCCGGUGAACUGCAGGGCCCCAGCGCAGCUGCAGCGGCUUCGGGCCAAGCUGCUGUCGGUGGCCGAGCACCGCGAGAUCUUCCCCAACCUGCACCGCGUGCUGCCCCGCUCCUGGCACGUCCUGGAGGAGCUACACUUCCAGCGGCCGCAGGCCCAACGCCUGUGGCUCAGCUGGUGGGACUCGGCGCGCCUGGGCCUGCAGGCCGGCCUGACCGAGGACCGGCUGCAGAGCGCCCUCUCCUACCUGCACGAGAGUGGCAAGCUGCUCUACUUCGAGGACAGCCCGGCACUCAAGGAGCACGUCUUCCACAACCUGCCUCGCCUCAUCGACAUCCUCAACGUCUUCUUCCAGAGGGAUGCCAGCCUGCUGUUGCGGAAGCUGCUGCUGGGCGCCCAGGGCGAGGCGGGUGCCCAGGGCAGUGGAGGAGGAGAAGGAGGCGGCGCCCUCGAUGGGGACGCGGAGACGGCGGGCCAGGACCCUCUGCGGGCUGCCCAGCUCCACCACUACGUGGAGGGCUUCCUCCUGCACGGCCUGCUGCCUGCGCACGUCAUCCGGCUGUUGCUACGGCCUCACGUCCAGGCCCCCCAGGACCUGCAGCUGCUCCUGGAGCUGCUGGAGAAGAUGGGGCUCUGCUACUGUCUCAACAAGGCCAAGGGCAAGGCCCUGAACGGGGCCUCGGCCUCCUGGUACAAGUUCCCUUGCUACGUGCAGAACGAUGUCCCUCCCGCCGAGGCUUGGAUUGACAGCUCGGGCGGUGGCGCGGCGGCGGCCCUGGCGGGGCAGUCCUUCGUGGCCGAGCAGCUGCACAUCCGCUACAGCUUCCCCGUGCUCUUCCCCCCAGGCCUGUUUUCCCGCUACAGCGUGCAGAUCAACCGGCACGUGGGCCAGCGCUCCGACGGCAAGCGCCAGAUCUUUGCCUACCGCGGCAAGGUGCCCGUGGUGGUGAGCUACAGGCCCGGCCGCAGCGCCCUGCAGCCCGACACCCUGUCCAUCGCCAGCCACGCCUCCCUGCCCAACAUCUGGACGGCGUGGCAGGCCAUCACCCCGCUGCUCGAGGAGUUGGACGCUCUGCUUCAGGAGUGGCCCGGCCUCUGCUACACCGUGCACAUCCUCUGCUCCAAGUGCCUUAAGAGAGGCUCCCCCAACCCACACGCCUUCCCAGGGGAGUUGCUGAGCCAGCCCAGACCAGAAGGCGUCGCUGAGAUCAUCUGCCCCAAAAAUGGCAGCGAGCGAGUGAACGUGGCCUUGGUCUACCCCCCGACGCCCACCGUGAUCAGCCCUUGUUCCAAGAAGAAUGUUGGCGAAAAGCACAGAAACCAGUAAUGGCAGGUGGGGCUUCGGGGUUUCCAAAGAGGAAGACAGCCCUGAACCCGCCUUGGCCAUCUUGGCUGGCGUCUAGGGGAUGGAGCCUUGACCUGCCUCACAGCAUGGACAGAUACGGAAGCCAUAGCUGCCGUCCAGAUGGCUGGAUCAGACUCUGAAGUCACUUCUGUCCCACGGGAAGGGAGAGCCUUGCCUAAUGCUCACUGCUGCUGCAGAGCAAUGACAAGUGUAAAGUAUGUACAUGUUUAUCUUUAUUUUUAUAAUAUGCAAAUACAUUUAAAUUUCUACAGUGGAAAGCUUCCAGCAUUAGUUCACACCGGGUGCAAUAUUCAGCGUGAGAGCCGUGCCGAGGGGCUGGCCUCUGGUUUCCCUUCACGGGUUGGGGUCUCUCUUUCUCUUGACUGCCUGGUUUUCUCAUCCUUCACAUGCAGGCACGCUCAUGCGCACACAUGCAGCCGUGGUAGUUUGGGUGGGGAUUUGAGGUUCAUUCUGUUCUUUGCUGCUACUCUCUCACCAUGGAAUAGGAGAGAAGGAAUCCUUGGGCCCUCCUAGGACAUCUGACCCCCUUCCUGCUGCCACCGAGCAGGAUAGCAUAAGCCGGCCGUGCUUGGUAGCCAGAGAGCGGCCAGACCCGCCCCUCUCCACACGAAGGAGCGGUCUUUAUCCCCCAGCUCCCAUGCUCCAGGAGCUUGUCCGUGCUGUCUGUCCCCAGCCUGGGCCCAGCAGCCUCUCCGGUUUGGUGUAGGCCCUUCCAGACUCGGCAUUCUACGGGCACAACCUUGGAGAGCCCAGCGUCUCUGAGCUCCCCAAAGAGGCAUCAGGGCAGGCCGCCCGAUGAAGACAAAAACCCUUCGUGUGGAUCAAGUCUUGGCUGGCAAAGCUUCAACAGCUGGAGGACGGGGACCCAGAAGGGCUGAAAUUUUUCCUGCGGGGCAGGGGCAGGUGAGAGGCCCGCUUCCUCGUCAGGUCAAGCCUAGCAAAGGCACAGGAAGUGUGCCUGGAGGACCCCCUUCCCCCUCCCCCAAUGGCAGCUCUCAAUGGACCUACCCGGUUAAAGACCUGCCCCCAUCGCUGCCCAGAGAGCCCAACUGAGCACAGGCUCAGUGACCAUAAAGGGUCCCCAGAGACAGAGCUGUCUUCACCGUCCAUCUGUGGUCAGACUUCUCAAGAGACAGGUGCACAUCCUCCAGAGCCACCAAGCAUGGGCACACAUGUACACCCAGAGGCCCCUGAAAGCAAGCAGGGCACCUUCCACCCUCCCCAACACCGGGAGUCAGGCGGGAGAAGAACCCCAUUUGGGCUUUCCUGUCGGGGGCAGCAUUCCCUGUGACUGGAUAUGUAGACUGUUCAGGGGGCCUCCUGCAAAGAGCUGGCAGGGCCUUCCCUGUGGGCCCAGGGGCCCAUCCAGGCCAGAGAGCACAGGUUCCAUGAGACUCUGAGGGCCAGAGAUCACACCUCGAAGUGAUGAUGGGGAGUGGGCCUCAAUGGAAGUCUCUCCAUCAGGAAGGAGGAGGAGGCCAAACCGGAGGCCAGUCCACUGAAGAGCUCAGUAUCUCUCUGCAAGGCACCGCUGGGGGAGGAAGAUGAAGCCUUGCGUGAAGAGGCUGGCCUCUAUACCCUGGGAGCCCACUGAGCCCCGCCGGCCCUGCCGGGGGAAGCGGGCGGCAUGCCAAAUGUGUGUGUUUCUGUCUCUCUCUCACACUCUCGAAUACUUGAAUAUGGUAGAUGGCUCCAGCCCGAGGUUCUGGGGCCUCUGAGUGAACCCCGCUGUCCCCGUUCUCUCUGUGUAUGUGUGUACAGUGUAAGCGGGAUGGUGACGUGUAAAUUGUGCUCCAGGCCACCUGCCCGAGCCGGGGGCAGGCGGGCGGACAGGAUGCUCUACGUGUGUGUACCCAUAUCUAUGCAUAUAGGUCUCUCCUUUUUUAUCUUGGCAUGAACCGGUGCAGAGUCUGUUGUAGAUAGAGCGCGUCUGGUCUUCUGACCCGUGUUUCAGAAGACGCCCGAGGGCUUACCGCGGGAGAAGCUGGUGGAUGCCCGGCUGGGGCGCGGUUCACCCCGGAUGCCCACGUUCUUGUGUGUCCCUGUGGUAGUUUUGAAUGUGUGACGUGUACACUGUGACUUAUGCUCUCAAGGAACCCAGAGCGGGGGGACGGAGGGGGACGGGGACCCCCCCACCCAAUCUACUUGAGAGCCUGCUUUGUCUGAGGAGGCGGGGCGGGAGUUAAGACCAGAGGUCCUGACGGUACUUCCUGCCAUGCAGGAACAUUUGCCAUCUACGCAGGGGUUCCGCGUCCUCUUUCCAGACUGGGGAAAGACUGGUCCAGUGGCCAGGUGAGGCUGUAGCUGCGCUCCACAAAGCACAAGAGGGCUGUCCCUACUUAGUGGCCCCUCUCCCGACUCUCUGAGAAGCUGCCUCCGGGGCGCUUGUAGCUUCCAUUCAAGCAACGGGCAGCGCGUAGGCUGCUGCUGCUGCUGAGACCGAACAGCGAGCGUGUUGUCCAAAUACGUGGGACCCUCUCUAAAAACGCGCCUCGACGCCGCCGUCCACCCCUGCCCCUUGUGUGCAAGACUCUGAGGGCUGAGGAAGGACUGGGUGGGCUUAGUGCGCUCGCGGAUGGGUUUUCUCAUGCCACAGUUUGUGAAACGUAAUCGCAGUUGACUGUCAAAUCGUCCUAACAGGGCAGAAUUGUAAAAAAAAAAAAAUUAACAAUUAAAUAAAAAAUAAAAAUUCUUGCCCUGGAAAAUUUAAAUAAAA